AUGCACCAGGGCCGCCUUCGCCCUCCGCCUCCUCCAAAAGCGCGCGCUCGCCGCGGGCGCUGGCGGUGGCGCGGCGGUCCUCGCUCGCGGGUGCGCGGGUGCGCGGAGGCGUCGGGGAUCGAGGGAGCUCUCCUCCCUAGCAGCUGGAGGCGCUCGGGAUCGAGCGAGUGGGCGAGGGGAUCGGGGCCCCUGGUGGUUGCCUGCUUGGCGAUUGCACGAGAUGCUGCUCGGGCGUGGGCUGGCCGACUCGAUCUCCUCGACCCAGGGCCCCGUGCUCGUCAGCGCCUGCCCCAUCGCGCACGACUUCUCUGA
rnacentral:rRNA from 1 species